CCGCGCUAAGCGGGGAGCUGGCGAUGCCCUAUACCUGCGAUCGCCUAGCAGGGCCUAGAUCCCCGCCCGAGGCGGCCCGGGUUCGGUGGAAACCGGUGACGAAAGCGUUGAUGGUUCGGUCCCGGGCAAUGGGACCCCGCGAACCGUGUCAGGACCGGGAGGUAGCAGCACUAAGCGGGUAACCCCAUGUGCUACGGGGUAGCCGAGCCGGAGCUGACGGCCGGGAGUUCGCCGGGUCCGGGUCCGUCGAAGGCGGGGUGCGCGG
rnacentral:SRP_RNA from 1 species